rnacentral:ncRNA from 1 species
AACUGAAAAAGGCAAACUUGCCGAAAGGCAAGGACGCAAAGUUAUGGGCCUAAUGCUGCAUAGAAGCGAUGGCUGCCAGACCGCCGGA